CAAAAUGGUUCUAUUGUAGUUGAAAUUAUUCCUUAAAUAAUUCAUCUAUGUAUUUUGGUAGUUAUUUUGCUUUCUCUCUAAAUCUCUUACAUGAUACAUUAUUAUAACAUGAAAUAUUUGUAAUGUUUAUGAAGGGAAAAGCCACUGAAUCUGCAGGUUUACUUAAUUGAAUGCAAUCUGGUUAAGGACUUCAGAGGAAAGGACUUGAAGAUGAGAUGUAGAAAAUUUCAAAUAAAAUAAAGUAAAAUAAAAUAAAUUAUAGCACCCUUAUUAUUCCUAUACAAACUUAUAACCAGAUUAACAUUGUAUAUUCUAUAUUCCCUUUGGUUAUCCUUAAAAGCAACAAAAUACAGUGAAAUAUCAAGGAUAUUUAUUUUUAAAAUGAGAGUAACUGGGAUCUGUACUAUAAUAUUUAGUUAACUAUUUCAGCUACCUGGGAACUACCACUCUCUCUCUCUGCUAAGAGAACCUGAAAGUUGAUUAUAUAUUAUAAGAUGUAUAGCAAUUAUAUUUCAGUCCCUAGGCUGGAUAUUCUUAAACUCUGAGAUCACUGUAGUAGAUUAGAUUAUCAUUCAGCACACAUUUACUCCCUCACUCAUUUCAAUGGAAGAAUGUACUGCACCCCACUCCAUUGAUUUGGGGCUUGACUGGCUAUAGCCAGUGGAAUGUGUGUGAAAGUACUGUUGUGCCAGUUCUGAGCCUGAGUGUUUAGAAACAUCACGUUUCCACUUGUGACCUCCACCUUGCAAAAAACACGCAUCAGGUUGCCAGAAUGAGGUAUGUUGAAGACAUCUGCACCCAACCUACAGAGUGAAACAGAGCCCCCCCAGCUGAGCCCAGAUCUGCUGAACUGCACUGAGCCUGCCAUUCCAUCAAUGUGAGAAUAUCUUUAUUUUGUAUGCCACUGAGACUGUUUGGUUGUUGUUUCUUCUGGUAACAACUGCCUGCUACAUUGAAGGACAGAAAUGCAUGCCAAGGAAGCUAUACAACAGGUAUAACAGAAUGUCUAUCCACUGCCUUCACCCAAAAUUACAGCUCCAAAACGUCAGUCUUGAUGACAAGUGAUUGAUACCUUCAGUGAUUUCAUUGCAGGGAAAAUUUGCAGUGAAGAAUCAA
rnacentral:lncRNA from 12 species